rnacentral:rRNA from 1 species
AUUGAACGCUGGCGGCCGGCUUAACACAUGCAAGUCGAGCGAGCGGCGGCAGGGUGAGUAAGGUCUGGGAAACUGACUGAUGGAGGGGGAUAACUACUGGAAACGGUAGCUAAUACCGCAUACCAUCAGAUGUGCCCAGAUGGGCGUCGCUAGUAGGUGGGGUAAUGGCUCACCUAGGCGACGAUCCCUAGCGGGUCUGAGAGGAUGACCAGCCACACUGGAACGGAGACACGGUCCAGACUCCUACGGGAGGCAGCAGUGGGGAAUAUUGCACAAUGGGCGCAAGCCUGAUACAGCCAUGCCGCGUGUGUGGAGAAGGCCUUCGGGUUGUAAAGCACUUUCAGCGAGGAGGCGUUACUCGCAGAAGAAGCACCGGCUAACUCCGUGCCAGCAGCCGCGGUAAUUC